AGCACUUUGUAUGUGUGUGUUUGUUCGGUGAACAAAGACACGAAAGGCAGGUACAAAAUUAAAUCCUCUUCUCAACCAGAACUCAUUGUUCAGUAUGAGUUGUGAUAUAUACAAGAAUGAAAAUG
ensembl:snoRNA